GACGAACGCUGGCGGCGUGCCUAAUACAUGCAAGUCGAGCGGACUUAAAAAGCUUGCUUUUUAAGUUAGCGGCGGACGGGUGAGUAACACGUGGGCAACCUGCCUGUAAGACUGGGAUAACUUCGGGAAACCGGAGCUAAUACCGGAUAAUCCUUUUCUACUCAUGUAGAAAAGCUGAAAGACGGUUUACGCUGUCACUUACAGAUGGGCCCGCGGCGCAUUAGCUAGUUGGUGAGGUAACGUCUCACCAAGGCGACGAUGCGUAGCCGACCUGAGAGGGUGAUCGGCCACACUGGGACUGAGACACGGCCCAGACUCCUACGGGAGGCAGCAGUAGGGAAUCUUCCGCAAUGGACGAAAGUCUGACGGAGCAACGCCGCGUGAGUGAUGAAGGUUUUCGGAUCGUAAAACUCUGUUGUUAGGGAAGAACAAGUACGAGAGUAACUGCUCGUACCUUGACGGUACCUAACCAGAAAGCCACGGCUAACUACGUG
rnacentral:rRNA from 1 species